rnacentral:rRNA from 1 species
CGUAUCUUAUCAAACAACAAUGUAACCAAUGUAAUCAUUAUUAUAACAUAAUAAAACUUUUAACAACGGAUCUCUUGGCUCUCGCAUCGAUGAAGAACGCAGCGAAAUGCGAUAAGUAAUGUGAAUUGCAGAAUUCAGUGAAUCAUCGAAUCUUUGAACGCACCUUGCACUCUUUGGUAUUCCGAAGAGUAUGCCUGUUUGAGUGUCAUGAAAUCUUCAACCAUUCUGUUGGGUGUUUACGCCUGGCGGUUUGGAUUGGACUUGGGUGUUUGUCGGACAAGCAAUUGUCUGACUCACCUUAAAAGGAUCAGUGGAUCUAUUGUCUUGGACUUUUGCAUUGCAAUUGGUUUGACUUGGCGUAAUAAGUAUUUCGCUAAGGACAGUGCUUCGGUGCUGGCCAUUGCUUUUCAACCGGACUUUGGAAAUCGCUUUCUAACCCUAAUUUUAUUUGACAUCUGGCCUCAAAUCAGGUAGGACUACCCGCUGAACUUAA